rnacentral:rRNA from 1 species
AGGAUGAACGCUGGCGGCGUGCCUAACACAUGCAAGUCGAACGUCCUGUCUCGCAAGAGGCAGGGAGUGGCGGACGGGUGAGUACCACGUGGGUCAUCUACCGUGAGGUGAGGAAUACCGGCGAGAAAUCGCCGACAAGACCGCAUAGGCUCGAUGCAAGUCGAGCAAAGCUCUUUCGAGAGAGGGAGCGCCACACGAGGAGCCUGCGCCCGAUUAGCUAGCUGGUGGAGUAACGGUUCACCAGGGCGACGAUCGGUAGCUGGUCUGAGAGGACGAUCAGCCACACUGGGAUUGAGAACGGCCCAGACUCCUACGGGGGGCAGCAGUGAGGAAUUUUCGUCAAUGGGGGCAACCCUGAACGAGCAACGCCGCGUGCAGGAGAAGGUUUCGGAUCGUAAACUGCUUUUCUCGGGGAAGAGAACGGACGGUACCCGAGGAACUCAGCCCCGGCUAACUACGUGCCAGCAGCCGCGGU